rnacentral:rRNA from 1 species
CAGCACCUCAAGUGGUCAGGAUGAUUAUUGGGCCUAAAGCAUCCGUAGCCGGCGCUGUAAGUUUUCGGUUAAAUCUGUACGCUCAACGUACAGGCUGCCGGGAAUACUGCAGAGCUAGGGAGUGGGAGAGGUAGACGGUACUCGGUAGGAAGGGGUAAAAUCCUUUGAUCUAUUGAUGACCACCUGUGGCGAAGGCGGUCUACCAGAACACGUCCGACGGUGAGGGAUGAAAGCUGGUGGAGCAAACCGGAUUAUAUACCCGAGUAGUCC